GACGAACGCUGGCGGCGUGCUUAACACAUGCAAGUCGAACGGAAAGGCCUCUUUCGGGGGGUACUCGAGUGGCGAACGGGUGAGUAACACGUGAGUAAACUGCCCUUGACUUUGGGAUAACUUCAGGAAACUGGGGCUAAUACCUAAUAGGAGCUCCUGCUGCAUGGUGGGGGUUGGAAAGUUUCGGCGGUUGGGGAUGUACUCGCGGCGUAUCAGCUUGUUGUUGGGGUAGUGGCUUACCAACGCGUUGACGGGUAGCCGGACUGAGAGGGUGACAGGCGGUACAGAGACUUAGGUGCGGCCGAGACGCGGACGGGAGGAAGAAGGGGGAAAGAUUGAACAAGCGGUGGAGGCUGGAUGAAGCAGGGCCGCGGGUGGGAUGACGCUCUUCGGGUUGAAAAACGCUUGCGCUAAUGACGAAGCUUGGUGUGACGGUAGUGGGUAAAGAAGCACCGGCUAACUACGUG
rnacentral:rRNA from 1 species